CGGUUAAGUUAGAAAGGGCGCACGGUGGAUGCCUUGGCACUAGGAGCCGAUGAAGGACGGGACGAACACCGAUAUGCUUCGGGGAGCUGUAAGCAAGCUUUGAUCCGGAGAUUUCCGAAUGGGGAAACCCACCACUCGUAAUGGAGUGGUAUCCAUAUCUGAAUACAUAGGAUAUGAGAAGGCAGACCCGGGGAACUGAAACAUCUAAGUACCCGGAGGAAAAGAAAGCAAAUGCGAUUCCCUGAGUAGCGGCGAGCGAAACGGGACCAGCCCAAACCAAGAGGCUUGCCUCUUGGGGUUGUAGGACACUCUGUACGGAGUUACAAAGGAACGAGGUAGAUGAAGAGGUCUGGAAAGGCCCGCCAUAGAAGGUAACAGCCCUGUAGUCAAAACUUCGUUCUCUCCUGAGUGGAUCCUGAGUACGGCGGAACACGUGAAAUUCCGUCGGAAUCCGGGAGGACCAUCUCCCAAGGCUAAAUACUCCCUAGUGACCGAUAGUGAACCAGUACCGUGAGGGAAAGGUGAAAAGCACCCCGGAAGGGGAGUGAAAGAGAUCCUGAAACCGUGUGCCUACAAGUAGUCAGAGCCCGUUAACGGGUGAUGGCGUGCCUUUUGUAGAAUGAACCGGCGAGUUACGAUCCCGUGCAAGGUUAAGCAGAAGAUGCGGAGCCGCAGCGAAAGCGAGUCUGAAUAGGGCGAAUUGAGUACGUGGUCGUAGACCCGAAACCAGGUGAUCUACCCAUGUCCAGGGUGAAGUUCAGGUAACACUGAAUGGAGGCCCGAACCCACGCACGUUGAAAAGUGCGGGGAUGAGGUGUGGGUAGGGGUGAAAUGCCAAUCGAACCUGGAGAUAGCUGGUUCUCUCCGAAAUAGCUUUAGGGCUAGCCUCAAGGUAAGAGUCUCGGAGGUAGAGCACUGAUUGGACUAGGGGCCCCUACCGGGUUACCGAAUUCAGUCAAACUCCGAAUGCCGAUGACUUAUCCUUGGGAGUCAGACUGCGAGUGAUAAGAUCCGUAGUCGAAAGGGAAACAGCCCAGACCGCCAGCUAAGGUCCCAAAGUAUACGUUAAGUGGAAAAGGAUGUGGAGUUGCUUAGACAACCAGGAUGUUGGCUUAGAAGCAGCCACCAUUUAAAGAGUGCGUAAUAGCUCACUGGUCGAGUGACUCUGCGCCGAAAAUGUACCGGGGCUAAACGUAUCACCGAAGCUGCGGACUGUUCUUCGAACAGUGGUAGGAGAGCGUUCUAAGGGCUGUGAAGCAAGACCGGAAGGACUUGUGGAGCGCUUAGAAGUGAGAAUGCCGGUAUGAGUAGCGAAAGAGGGGUGAGAAUCCCCUCCACCGAAUGCCUAAGGUUUCCUGAGGAAGGCUCGUCCGCUCAGGGUUAGUCGGGACCUAAGCCGAGGCCGAAAGGCGUAGGCGAUGGAUAACAGGUUGAUAUUCCUGUACCACCUCCUCACCAUUUGAGCAAUGGGGGGACGCAGGAGGAUAGGGUAAGCGCGGUAUUGGAUAUCCGCGUCCAAGCAGUUAGGCUGGGAAAUAGGCAAAUCCGUUUCCCGUGAAGGCUGAGCUGUGAUGGCGAGCGAAUUAUAGUAGCGAAGUUCCUGAUUCCACACUGCCAAGAAAAGCCUCUAGCGAGGUGAGAGGUGCCCGUACCGCAAACCGACACAGGUAGGCGAGGAGAGAAUCCUAAGGUGAUCGAGAGAACUCUCGUUAAGGAACUCGGCAAAAUGACCCCGUAACUUCGGGAGAAGGGGUGCUCUGUUAGGGUGCAAGCCCGAGAGAGCCGCAGUGAAUAGGCCCAGGCGACUGUUUAGCAAAAACACAGGUCUCUGCGAAGCCGUAAGGCGAAGUAUAGGGGCUGACGCCUGCCCGGUGCUGGAAGGUUAAGAGGAGCGCUUAGCGUAAGCGAAGGUGCGAAUUGAAGCCCCAGUAAACGGCGGCCGUAACUAUAACGGUCCUAAGGUAGCGAAAUUCCUUGUCGGGUAAGUUCCGACCCGCACGAAAGGCGCAACGAUCUGGGCACUGUCUCAACGAGAGACUCGGUGAAAUUAUAGUACCUGUGAAGAUGCAGGUUACCCGCGACAGGACGGAAAGACCCCGUGGAGCUUUACUGCAGCCUGAUAUUGAAUGUUGGUACAGCUUGUACAGGAUAGGUAGGAGCCUUGGAAACCGGAGCGCCAGCUUCGGUGGAGGCAUCGGUGGGAUACUACCCUGGCUGUAUUGACCUUCUAACCCGCCGCCCUUAUCGGGCGGGGAGACAGUGUCAGGUGGGCAGUUUGACUGGGGCGGUCGCCUCCUAAAAGGUAACGGAGGCGCCCAAAGGUUCCCUCAGAAUGGUUGGAAAUCAUUCGCAGAGUGUAAAGGCACAAGGGAGCUUGACUGCGAGACCUACAAGUCGAGCAGGGACGAAAGUCGGGCUUAGUGAUCCGGUGGUUCCGCAUGGAAGGGCCAUCGCUCAACGGAUAAAAGC
rnacentral:rRNA from 1 species